GUUUCCUUCUAAAAUGUGUCACAUGUACUAAAAUUAGAAUAAUGCAGAGAUUAGCAUGACCCCUGCUAAGACGACACACAAAUUAGUGACUGUUCCAUAUUUUA